rnacentral:rRNA from 1 species
UACGGAGGGGGGCUAGCGUUGCUCGGAAUUACUGGGCGUAAAGCGCGCGUAGGCGGACCUGCAAGUCGGGGGGUGAAAGCCCGAGGCUCAACCUCGGAACUGCCUUCGAUACUGCGGGUCUCGAGUCCGGGAGAGGUGAGUGGAAUUCCUAGUGUAGAGGUGAAAUUCGUAGAUAUUAGGAAGAACACCAGUGGCGAAGGCGGCUCACUGGCCCGGUACUGACGCUGAGGCGCGAAAGCGUGGGGAGCAAACAGG